rnacentral:lncRNA from 1 species
CAUGUGUUUGGGGGGAGCAUGGCAGGAUAGUGGGGGAGAAAGGGGAGUCCAGAAGUAACAUAUUUUUAGAGUAAGUUUUAAAACCAAGUGUUGGCUGGAUCUGGUGGCUCACACCUGUAAUCCCAACACUUUGGGAGGCCAAAGCAGGAGGAUCACUUGAGGCCAGGAGUUUGAGACUAGCCUGUACAACAUACCAAGAUCUCAUUUCUACAAAAAAAUAAAUAAAAAAUUAGCUGAGUGCUGUGGUGCACACCUGUAGUUCCAGCUACUACGGAGGCUGGGUUGGGAAAAUUGCUUGAGCCUGAGAGGUUGAGGCUGCAGUUAGCCAUAAUUACUCCACUGCACUCCAGCCUAGGUGACAGAACUAGACCCUGUAUCACAAAAACAAACAAGAAAACAAACAAAAAACAAGCGUAACUACUGUUGCAUUGCCUUCUCUAUAUAAGUUGUCUUGUAUAUAAAUCAUCUUAUUUUAUACUGCCUAAUAGAUCAGUGUAUGCAGUAUACGCUCAGGAAAUUGAUUAUCUAAUAGUAACAUUCAAAACAUUUAGGGCAACUGAUAGUAAUGUGGUUUUGGAACUAAUAAUAACAUAUUGUCCCUAUUAUUUUAAAAAAUUCCUUUUUAAGGGAAGUUUGGACUUUUGACUUUCUUCACUGUCAAGGUGUUUGAAUGUUGUUAGUCUAGUGCUGAAAAAUUGAUGGUUAUUUCACGUUGAAUUACACAGACUUUUACAGUACAUUUUCUUUUUUGUUUGUUUGUUUUUGAGACAGAUUCUCGCUGUGUCACCCAGGCUAGAGUGCAGUGGCUCGAUCUUGGCUCACUGCAAGCUCCCCCUCCUGGGU